rnacentral:rRNA from 1 species
UAGCAUAUCAAUAAGCGGAGGAAAAGAAACUAACAAGGAUUCCCCUAGUAACUGCGAGUGAAGCGGGAAAAGCUCAAAUUUAAAAUCUGGCAGCCUUUGGUUGUCCGAGUUGUAAUCUAGAGAAGUGUUAUCCGCGCUGGACCGUGUACAAGUCUCCUGGAAUGGAGCGUCAUAGAGGGUGAGAAUCCCGUCUUUGACACGGACUGCCAGGGCUUUGUGAUGCGCUCUCAAAGAGUCGAGUUGUUUGGGAAUGCAGCUCAAAAUGGGUGGUAAAUUCCAUCUAAAGCUAAAUAUUGGCGAGAGACCGAUAGCGAACAAGUACCGUGAGGGAAAGAUGAAAAGAACUUUGGAAAGAGAGUUAAACAGUACGUGAAAUUGCUGAAAGGGAAACGCUUGAAGUCAGUCGCGUUGUCCAGGGAUCAACCUUGCUUUUGCUUGGUGCACUUUCUGGUUGACGGGUCAGCAUCAAUUUUGACUAUUGGAAAAAGAUUAGGGGAAUGUGGCAUCUUUGGAUGUGUUAUAGCCCUUGGUUGCAUACAAUGGUUGGGAUUGAGGAACUCAGCACGCCGCAAGGCCGGGUUUUUAACCACGUACGUGCUUAGGAUGCUGGCAUAAUGGCUUUAAUCGACCCGUCUUGAAACACGGACCAAGGAGUCUAACAUGCCUGCGAGUGUUUGGGUGGAAAACCCGAGCGCGUAAUGAAAGUGAAAGUUGAGAUCCCUGUCGUGGGGAGCAUCGACGCCCGGACCAGACCUUUUGUGACGGUUCCGCGGUAGAGCAUGUAUGUUGGGACCCGAAAGAUGGUGAACUAUGCCUGAAUAGGGUGAAGCCAGAGGAAACUCUGGUGGAGGCUCGUAGCGAUUCUGACGUGCAAAUCGAUCGUCAAAUUUGGGUAUAGGGGCGAAAGACUAAUCGAACC